rnacentral:rRNA from 1 species
GACGAACGCUGGCGGCGUGCUUAACACAUGCAAGUCGAGCGGUAAGGCCCUUUCGGGGGUACACGAGCGGCGAACGGGUGAGUAACACGUGGGUGACCUGCCUUUAGCUCUGGGAUAAGCCCGGGAAACCGGGUCUAAUACCGGAUAUGACUCCGCGGCGCAUGUUGUGGGGUGGAAAGCCUUGUGCGGCUGGAGAUGGGCCCGCGGCCUAUCAGCUUGUUGGUGGGGUGAUGGCCACCAAGGCGACGACGGGUAGCCGGCCUGAGAGGGCGACCGGCCACACUGGGACUGAGACACGGCCCAGACUCCUACGGGAGGCAGCAGUGGGGAAUCUUGCGCAAUGGGCGAAAGCCUGACGCAGCGACGCCGCGUGAGGGAUGACGGCCUCGGUU